rnacentral:rRNA from 1 species
AACGAACGCUGGCGGCGCGCCUAAUACAUGCAAGUCGAGCGAGAAGACGUAGCAAUACGUUUGUAAAGCGGCGAACGGGUGAGGAAUACAUGGGUAACCUACCCUCGAGUGGGGAAUAACUAGCCGAAAGGUUAGCUAAUACCGCGUACGCUCCUUGGACUUCGGUUCAGGGAGGAAAGCGAUACCGUGGGUAUCGCGCUCUUGGAUGGGCUCAUGUCCUAUCAGCUUGUUGGUGAGGUAACGGCUCACCAAGGCUUCGACGGGUAGCUGGUCUGAGAGGACGAUCAGCCACACUGGCACUGCGACACGGGCCAGACUCCUACGGGAGGCAGCAGUAAGGAAUAUUGCGCAAUGGGCGAAAGCCUGACGCAGCGACGCCGCGUGGGGGAUGAAGGUCUUCGGAUUGUAAACCCCUUUCGGUAGGGAAGAU